UACGAAGGGGGCUAGCGUUGCUCGGAAUUACUGGGCGUAAAGGGCGCGUAGGCGGAUAUCUAAGUUGGGGGUGAAAUCCCGGGGCUCAACCUCGGAAUUGCCUUCAAAACUGGAUAUCUUGAGUUCGGGAGAGGUGAGUGGAACUCCGAGUGUAGAGGUGAAAUUCGUAGAUAUUCGGAAGAACACCAGUGGCGAAGGCGACUCACUGGCCCGAUGCUGACGCUGAGGCGCGGAAAAGCGUGGGGGAGCAAACAGGG
rnacentral:rRNA from 1 species